CGUGGCUGUGUCCAGUCAUGUUAUUUCCGGCUAUUUCAGUGAUGGCGAACCUUUUGAGCUCAGCGUGUCAGCAUUUUGAAAAACCCUAACUUAACUCUGGUGCCGUGCCACAUAUAGAAAUUUUUUUAAUAUUUGCAACCAUAGUAAAACAAAGACUUAUAUUUUUGAUAUUUAUUUUAUAUAUUUAAAUGUCAUAUAACAAAGAAAAAUCAACCAAAAAAAUGACACGUGUCACCUCUGACACGCAUGUCAUAGGUUCACCAUCACUGUGCUAUUUAAUCCACAUGUGGUCAGCUCUGAGGACAGAAGGGAAGACUCACAGCCACCACCUCUCAACAGCUUGAGACCUCGACCCCCACUGCUGGAACGGAACCCUCCCUGGCUGCAUAGUGGACCUUAACCCUGGUCUGGGUGCUGGAUCUAGUUAAUAAAUCCACUCAGUUUCGGAGAAGAUGGCCUUGAGAAAUCUGGAUUUGAGAGAAAUGGAAUUGGAUGAUCCUAAAAGAGUGUGCUCUUAAUUUAAAUAAUAAUUAUAUAAAUAUUUUACAGUAAUUGAUAAAAUUUUAUUGCAUGCUAACUGUGGUCUAACCACUGUUCUCAGAUCUUUGAAAUGGCUCAUUGAAACUUCUCAAUUUCCCUAUUUGCAUUAAACCUUUUUAUAUCACUA